CAAUAGCGUAUAUUAAAGUUGUUGCGGUUAAAAAGCUCGUAGUUGGAUUUCUGCUGAGAACGACCGGUCCGCCCUUUGGGUGUGUAUCUGGCUCUUUCUUGGCAUCUUCUUGGUGAACGUUGCUGCACUUGACUGUGUGGAGCGCUACCCAGGACUUUUACUUUGAGGAAAUUAGAGUGUUUCAAGCAGGCAUACGCCUUGAAUACAUUAGCAUGGAAUAAUAAGAUAGGACCUCGGUUCUAUUUUGUUGGUUUCUAGAGCUGAGGUAAUGAUUAAUAGGGAUAGUUGGGGGCAUUCGUAUUUAACUGUCAGAGGGGAAAUUCUUGGAUUUGUUAAAGACGGACUACUGCGAAAGCAUUUGCCAAGGAUGUUUUCAUUGA
rnacentral:rRNA from 1 species